rnacentral:rRNA from 1 species
GACGAACGCUGGCGGCGUGCUUAACACAUGCAAGUCGAGCGGCGCGGCGAACGGGUGCGUAACGCGUGAGUAACUGACCCCCCCUCUGGGAUAACAGAUGGAAACGGCUGCUAAUAUCGGAUAGUGGGGGAUGACUCGCGUCCUAUCAGCUUGUUGGUGGGGUAGUGCCCUCUCAAGGCGACGACGGGUAGCCGGCCUGGGGGGGGGACCGGCCACAUUGGGCUGAGAUACGGCCCAGACUGCUACGGGGGGCAGUAGUGGGGAAUAUGGCGCAGUGGGGGAAACCCUGAUGCAGCAGCGCCGCGUGCGGGAUGACGGCCUUCGGGUUGUAAACCGCUUUCAGCCAUGACGCGGUAGUGGCAGAAGAAGCACCGGCUAACUACGUGCCAGCAGCCGCGGUAAUAC